rfam:Mycobacterium sp. E787 contig_86, whole genome shotgun sequence.
AUAGCGGCGCGCCGCAGGGGCCGCCCGGACGAGUUCGCCGUACCCGGAAAGCGACAAGACGGCGACCG